GUGGGGAAUUUUGGACAAUGGGCGCAAGCCUGAUCCAGCAAUGCCGCGUGCAGGAAGAAGGCCUUCGGGUUGUAAACUGCUUUUGUACGGAACGAAACGGUCCUGGCUAAUAUCCGGGGCUAAUGACGGUACCGUAAGAAUAAGCACCGGCUAACUACGUGCCAGCAGCCGCGGUAAUACGUAGGGUGCGAGCGUUAAUCGGAAUUACUGGGCGUAAAGCGUGCGCAGGCGGUGCUGUAAGACAGGCGUGAAAUCCCCGGGCUCAACCUGGGAAUUGCGCUUGUGACUGCAGUGCUGGAGUGCGGCAGAGGGGGAUGGAAUUCCGCGUGUAGCAGUGAAAUGCGUAGAUAUGCGGAGGAACACCGAUGGCGAAGGCAAUCCCCUGGACCUGUACUGACGCUCAUGCACGAAAGCGUGGGGAGCAAACAGGAUUAGAUACCCGAGUAGUCC
rnacentral:rRNA from 1 species